AACGAACGCUGGCGGCAGGCCUAACACAUGCAAGUCGAGCGCACCUUCGGGUGAGCGGCGGACGGGUUAGUAACGCGUGGGAAUAUACCCAAAGGUACGGAAUAGCCUCUGGAAACGGAGAGUAAUACCGUAUGUGCCCUUCGGGGGAAAGAUUUAUCGCCUUUGGAUUAGCCCGCGUUGGAUUAGGUAGUUGGUGGGGUAAUGGCCUACCAAGCCUACGAUCCAUAGCUGGUUUGAGAGGAUGAUCAGCAACACUGGGACUGAGACACGGCCCAGACUCCUACGGGAGGCAGCAGUGGGGAAUCUUAGACAAUGGGCGCAAGCCUGAUCUAGCCAUGCCGCGUGAGUGACGAAGGCCUUAGGGUCGUAAAGCUCUUUCGCCAGAGAUGAUAAUGACAGUAUCUGGUAAAGAAACCCCGCUAACU
rnacentral:rRNA from 1 species